rnacentral:lncRNA from 1 species
GUUGCGAAAUGAAGACGACGGUGCUGAUGAACUUCCGGUAACUCCAAACCGCACAUUGAAAUUUACAACUUGGAUUUUGCUUAGGAAAAAGAAUUGGCCUAAUCCCAAAGAGCUUUGGGUUGUUCUUCCUUUAUCCUCUAAACCUUUUCUUCUUGCAGCUCUAUUAUUACUGUCUGCACCCACAUACUGAUAGCUACGGCCAAUUAUUGGGUCAGGGGAUGAGAUAUCAUGGAAAGGUCCAAAAGGGGAAGUAAAUUGCCAAGCUAUCUCAAAAACUAUGUCACCAAUUAAAAUAAUCCCAUUUUAUUUUACAUUUUGCUGAGUUGUACUUUCUGUUUGAUUUAGAUUCUCUAUAUGUAAUCUUUUCUAUUAUAGACCACGUGUUGGUUAUAGGAAUGGUAUUAAAAUGAAAAGAGAAUGAAUGAAAAGGGGAGAAGAAUUUUUCAGUCACCUCUCUCUCUUGUUUCCAGGAGGUUCUUGAUCCUCGAAAUCAAGUUUUUUAUCUUCUAACAAUUUGGUGCUUUCAUUCGCUGUUUUCCUCCUCAUGGCUGAACAUAACACCCGCUCCAAAACCAUCGACGACGCUAUCCUCCGCCUCACACAGAACCAGGCCCAACUCACGGCACAACAAACCGAGCUCAACACCAAGAUUGAUUCCAUCCUCUCCCAUCUCUCACAGCUCGAUUUUUCCGCAACUUUGCCGCCACCAUCCCCCGUAAAUCACACUCUCCCUUCCUUCAAACCCCAUAUGAAACUAGAUGUUCCUAGAUUCGAUGGUUGUGACGCGACUGGUUGGAUCUUCAAGAUCAAUCAAUUUUUUGAAUACCAUUCCACCCCAGAAGAGGAUCGCCUCAAGGUUGCUUCCUUCUACAUGGAGGGUACUGCCCUAAGCUGGUUCCAAUGGAUGCACCAGAAUGGGUUGAUUCAGUCUUGGCCCGCGUUCCUCCAAGCUCUCGAAACCCGCUUCGCUCCUUCCUUUUAUGAGGAUCCUCGUGGUCUCCUCUUCAAACUUUCUCAGCGUGGCACCGUCAAUGACUACCUCACGGAAUUUGAAAGGUUAGCAAGUCGUGUUGUGGGUCUUCCACCUUCUUUUCUUCUUAGUUGCUUUAUAUCGGGCCUCUCCCCUGAGAUUAAGCGAGAGGUUUUAGCCCUGCAACCACUCACAUUCACCCAAGCCGCUGCCCUGGCUAAAUUACAAGAGGAUAAAUUUUUGGAUCUGCGAAAGGGAUCCCGUAAUCGUCCCUUCUUGUCCACUCCACACCUCCCCGGUACCUCAUCAACUGCGCCAUCUUCAAACCAACCCCUACCACCACUCCUCACCCCACCCCCCAAAACCAAUUUUAAGAAGCUUACUCAUGAAGAAAUGUUAUCUCGUCGCGAGAAGGGUUUAUGUUACAAUUGCGACGAGAAAUUCCACCCUGGUCACAAGUGUAAAGCACGUUUUUUCCUCUUGGUGGCUGAGACACCUGAUGAUGACAUCUCUUCCUUCUCGGAUCCCCUUUCCCACACCGAUUUGGAUUCAUCUCAAUUAGAAUCCAAUUGCACAGAGCUCUCUUCAGCCCAAAUUAGCUUUAAUGCUCUCUCUGGAUUACCUGCUCCAGAGGCCCUUCGUUUGAUGGGUCUUAUUUCGAAGCAACAAGUUACUAUUCUGGUGGAUGGUGGUAGCACACAUAAUUUCAUUCAGGAUCGUGUAGCCAAAUUUUUAAACUUACCUUCCCAACCCACCCCCACAUUGAAGGUAAUGGUUGGUAAUGGGAGUGUCCUUGAAUGUCACCAUGUUUGCCCAGCUAUUCUAGUGACGAUUCAAGGCCAACAUUUCACUGUUGACUUCCAUGUGCUUCCGAUUAGUGGGGCAGAGGUUAUUUUGGGGAUCCAAUGGUUAAAGCUUUUGGGCCCAAUUAUCACAGAUUACUCCAAAAUGACAAUAAGUUUUAUGCAAGAGGGCCGCAGGGUUGAACUUACAGCAGAUAUUCCUUCUGGGCCCCAAGACAUUUCAGCCCAUCAAUUGAAACGGAUUGUUCAAACUCAUUCGGGUGCAGCCUAUUUCCACAUCCAGAUAUUUCCUCAUUCCCCUUUUGCCGACACACCGACAGUAGCUUCCCCUUCACACCCCGAUCCUCUUAUCUCCUCCCUCCUCAAUCACUAUAAAGCCUUAUUUCUUCCCCCGACUUCUUUGCCUCCUCCCCGCAACACAGACCACCAUAUUCACCUUAUGCAAAAUUCUUCCCCAGUCAAUGUUCGCCCGUAUCGUUACCCACACUUCCAGAAAUGUGAAAUUGAAAGACAAAUUGAUGAGAUGCUCCAAACGGGGUUGAUACAGCCAAGUCACAGUCCUUUCUCUUCACCAGUUCUCUUGGUCAAAAAGAAAGACGGUAGUUGGAGAUUCUGUGUGGAUUUUCGUGCUCUCAAUUUGAUUUUUGUGAAGGACAGAUUUCCCUUGCCCACUAUCGAUGAACUUUUGGAUGAACUAGGAGGAGCCAAGUGGUUUUCCAAGUUGGAUCUGCGUCAAGGAUUCCAUCAAAUACGUAUGCAUGAGGCCGAUAUCCAUAAAACAGCAUUUCGCACCCAUAUGGGUCAUUACGAAUAUAAGGUCAUGCCAUUCGGCCUUUGUAACGCCCCUUCCACUUUCCAGGCUACUAUGAACGAUCUGUUGAAACCUUUUCUGCGCAAAUUUGUUAUUGUUUUCUUCGAUGAUAUUCUUGUUUAUAGCAAGACUUUCGAAGCUCACUUGCAUCACUUGGAGUGUACCUUUAAGGCAUUGAUUGAGGGCCAUUUCUUCCUUAAGGAAUCUAAGUGCGUAUUCGCUCAACAACAACUUGAAUAUUUGGGUCAUAUUGUUUCUGCUAUUGGAGUUGCAGCUGAUCCUUCAAAGAUACAGGCCAUGGUAGAAUGGCCAACUCCUUGUUCUAUCAAAUCUUUGCGGGGAUUUUUGGGGUUGACAGGUUUUUACAGACGUUUCAUCAAGGGGUAUGCUUUAAUCGCUUCCCCUCUUAUAGCAUUACUGAAGAAGGAACACUUUGUGUGGUGUCCUGUUGCUCAAUCUGCAUUCGAACAUCUCAAGAAGGCCAUGACCGAAGCUCCUGUUUUGGCCCUUCCUGAUUUUACUCUUCCUUUUCAGCUUGAAACUGAUGCCUCUGGAUCUGCCAUGGGUGCUGUUUUGAUGCAACAAGAUCACCCUAUUGCAUUUUUCAGUAAGCCUUUUUGUCCUAAGCUACUACGCUCCUCUACUUAUGUCCGUGAGCUCCAUGCAAUCACAUCUGCGGUGAAGAAGUGGCGUCAGUACCUACUAGGCCACCGUUUCAUUAUUCUUACGGAUCAUCGUAGCUUGAAAGAACUAAUGUCACAAGUGAUUCAGACCCCUGAGCAGCAAGUUUACCUUUCCAAAUUGUUGGGUUACGACUACGCUAUACAAUACAAAGCUGGAAACACAAUGUGGUUGCAGAUGCCCUUUCCCGUACUAAUGAAUCCACACCCGGUCAGUUUAUGGUGCUUUCUAUGCCUCGUUUCAUUUUUUUUUAUCAAUUGCGCAAAUCUCUCCAUGACAGCCCUGAGUUCUCUUCAUUGUUGGCUGACGUGCGUAACACACCGAGUGUCUUUCCUCUCUACGUCAUUCACAAUGACUUUUUGUUAUAUGAUGGGAAAUUAUGGUUGAAUAAGGACAACCCCUUUAUUCCUCUCUUGUUGGACGAAUUCCAUACUACUCCGUUAGGUGGUCAUAUGGGCUUUGCCAAGACUUUGGCACGUAUUCACGGCAAUUUCUACUAGAAGGGUAUGCAUUCCACCAUUCGUACUUUUGUCUCUCAGUGUCCCACCUGCCAACAAACCAAGUAUGAGACACAAAAACCAGCAGGGUUGCUGCAGCCGCUUCCCACUCCCCAUGAUUCCUGGGAAGAUCUUUCCCUCGAUUUUAUUACUGGAUUACCUCCUUCCGUGGGUCACACUGUGAUAUUGGUUGUUGUUGAUCGUUUUUCAAAGGGGGCACAUUUUGGUACCCUUCCUAAUCACUUUACUGCAUUUCGGGUUGCCCAACUCUUUAUGGAUAUGGUUUGCAAGCACCACGGUAUUCCUCGCAGCCUUGUUUCAGACUGUGACCCUAUCUUAUCAGCAAGUUCUGGCACGAGUUGUUUCGUUUAUGUGGGACCAAGCUACGGAUGAGUACUUCAUACCAUCCUGAAACCGACGGACAAACUGAGGUGCUUAAUCGAACCUUAGAACAAUACCUUCGUUCUUUUGUUCAUACUCAACCUAGCCAUUGGAGUCGCUAUAUCUCCCUCGCUGAAUGGUCCUAUAAUACCUCCAUACACUCAGCCACUGGUUUCACCCCCUUUCAAAUCACUUAUGGCAAACCUCCUCCUUCUAUUCCUUUUUAUUUGACAGGAUCUUCUAGUGUGGAGGCAGUGGAUACUUGGCUUACCAAUCGACAAACCCUCAUGACCAUGUUACGUAAGAAAUUGGAAAAGGCACAGUUAGCUAUGAAAACAUCAGCUGAUUGUCAUCGCAGGGAUGUAGUGUAUCAGAUGGGUGAUUGGGUGUACGUUCGUCUCUGUCCGUAUAGACAACGUUCACUUCAUUCCUCUUUCUGUCAAAAACUAGCCAAACGUUUUUAUGGUCCUUUCCGUAUCACAGCUCAUAUAGGCCCUGUUGCCUAUAAACUGGAUCUUCCACCGACUUCACGCAUCCAUCUAGUGUUCCAUUGUUCUCUUUUGAAGCUGCAUAAAGGCCCACUUCCAUCAGUUCCAGCUGAACUUCCCCCUAUUGCACAAGACAACAAGCCUUUUAUUGAACCACUUGCCGUUUUGGACACCAAGAUGGAUGUUUCCACAGAUCCACCAACAAAACUUGCACUGGUACAGUGGAAAGGUCUUGCUCCUGAAGACACCAGCUGGGAAGUUUGGUCAGAGUUGGUUUCUGAUUUUCACCUUGAGGACAAGGUGCCUCCCAUAGCGGUGGGUAUUGAUAGCAACAACCCUGUUGAUACAGGGCCAAUUGUUGGGUCAGGGGAUGAUAACAGAGAAGAUAUCAUGGAAAGGCCCAAAAGGGGAAGUAAAUUGCCAAGCUAUCUCAAAGACUAUGUCACCAAUUAAAAUAAUCUCAUUUUAUUUUACAUUUUGCUGAGCUAUACUUUCUGUUUGAUUUAGAUUCUCUAUAUGUAAUCUUUUCUGUUAUAGACCACGUGUUGGUUACAGGAAUGGUAUUAAAAUGAAAAGAGAAUGAAUGAAAAGGGGAGAAGAAUUUUUCAGUCACCUCUCUCUCUUGUUUCCAGGAGGUUCUUGAUCUUCGAAAUCAAGUUUUUUAUCUUCUAACACAUACUAACAACAAAAGGACUAAAAUAUUCUCAUUCACUCCACCAUGUCGGUAGUGUUGUGUCUUCCUAUUCUCUGUUGCACUCACGCGAUCGCAACGGGAUAUUGUUGUUCGAUGUUUAUUUCAUCCUUAUCUCUAGGUUAAAUAUUCAUAUUUAUACC